UGAUGGCACAAUAAAAAAAAAAAAAAAAAAGCAUGACUGAAGAUGUUACAAGUCGUUCUGAUGAGAGCGUGAUAGCAGAUGUCCUCCUGCCCGUGGCGCCAGAUUAAAUAAAGGUUCCCGUCUUGAAUUGCUCCGUUGUGGUUGUUCGGUUUUACUUACGGAGAGCAUCUGAAGGCUCCUUCCCCUGCUGAUCGUCGUCAUCGUCAUCCUCACCUCCGCCGCCAGUGAGCUGGUUAACAUUCCAGUCCUCCUAAUCUCUCUUUAAGACUGACAGGGCUUUUCGCACAAAUGAAAGAGCAAGCUAAGCAUAAAGAAAAUUAGCGAGCCGUAGUGAUGAUGUUCUGAAAAAAACUGGACUCUCUGUGGCUCCACUUCCUGGUUGUUUUAUUGACAAGAGAAAGCUCUGCACACCGUUGGCCCCUCCAGUAACCGUGAUACCAGUAAGCCAACUACUCUGCGACUGGUGAAAGAGGACAAUCCCAGACUGGCAUGCCGUCCCUCUGCACCAAGGUCAGGCUCAAAGUGAAAGGCGAUCGCGGUUUCACUCUCAUUGUUCAGGCUCCAGCAAAGCUAAAUCGUAUAAAGAACACCCUGAAACUACUUUCUUUCUUUGGCUUCUACUUAUUUUCAGAUAAUUCUAGCCUCAGUCGACCUCCUCUUCAUCCUUUAGCCCCUGGUAAAAAUGUAAUCUGACUAAAAGCGUAAGAGAAAAAUACAACAAAAGACAGAUCUGUGUUCUCCAGCUGAACCAACCAGCCAUUUUUUUUUGUUUUUAUUUCACAACGACACAUUGGACAGGUCCUGUAGAUAUAUAUAUGAAUAUAUCAAAAACACAUCAGCUGACGUGUCAUAUCUAAAAUAAUAAUAAAAAAAAAACACUUGUUUUCAAUUUGCACAUAGAGCUCAAGUCAUAAAA